CUAAGUUUGAUGGCGACCGGCGCACGGGUGAGUAACACGUAUCCAACCUGCCGAUGACUCGGGGAUAGCCUUUCGAAAGAAAGAUUAAUACCCGAUGGCAUAGUUCUUCCGCAUGGUAGAACUAUUAAAGAAUUUCGGUCAUCGAUGGGGAUGCGUUCCAUUAGGUUGUUGGCGGGGUAACGGCCCACCAAGCCUUCGAUGGAUAGGGGUUCUGAGAGGAAGGUCCCCCACCAUUGGAACUGAGACACGGUCCAAACUCCUACGGGAGCAGCAUG
rnacentral:rRNA from 1 species